GUCUGAUCUGGCAGGACUUUGGGAAGUGACAGACAGACAAGCCAGCAGUCACUGGCACCAUCGCUCUCCUUCACUUCCUCCUCUGCUGGCUCUCUCGGAGAGGGACGGAUGUGAUCUGGAUUCACAAGUGGAGGAGAAAAGAAAACUGGACACCACAAUAAAUGCCAAUCAUGGAGCCGAAUCAUUUCCUGGAUGGUGUAGGAGGCAUUAAAGGCAGCCUGAUACUGAGCGUCUGAGGGAACAAGCUGAAGCAGCCAACACUGCAUCUCGCCAUCCAGCUCAGAAGAGAAGCUUCUGGAAACGGCAUUCACUUCCACUGCUUGAAGAACUCUAGGCAUGAUUACCGGGUUGUAAACCUCUUUUAUAUCUAAUAACCGGUUGACUCUGGAAGAA